rnacentral:lncRNA from 10 species
GACUUAAACAGCUGGAAUGUGGGGGCAAUUUCUGUAGCUCUACUGUAAUUAGACCUGGUUCCCGCUGGGUUUACUAGUCACAGUUGUCAACGCAGUGCCCACGAGCCCACUCCCUGGCACAGAGUCAGAGAUUUCGCUGUUGAUCCAGACAUUCAGCCAGCCCUGAUGAAACCAGCUGCUCUCAGCAGUUCCAGGGCCAUCAUCACCUCUCUGGCUGCUGGAGCAUCUGAGAGCAUCCUGCAAAGUUUCUGGGUUGGCCCCAUGUCAAGAAGAGCAGCUGCUGGCAGCAGGGGACUCAGUCAGUGUGUGUCCUACAAACCUCUUUAGGUAAUUCUGCUUUAAUCUGCCGCUCUCACAUUUGGUUACAAGGAUGACUGGUUUCACAGCACAGACUGACAUGCAGCUGUCCCCACCGGCCACUGUCUCCAGGAGUUAAGCUGUGCGGGAGUUGCUUAAGCACAGGGUGGCAGGUGCAAGGUAAGAGGCAGAGCCCGUGCAGCCUCCAUCCUUAGGAAUGACUGAGUAGGACUGGCCAGGAGCUUGGGACUACCGGCCCCACAUUCAGCCUGACCUGAUUACUGUUUACAAGCAGAGAAGCCAAGAGGUUUGUGUAGAAAUGAGAGUGUGCAUAAUCCAAGCGUGGAAGAAUCCACCCACCCACAGUCCUCCAAGCUUUACAGAGCAUCUCAAGAAUCAGAAUACCCAGGGACAUAGUAUGUUUCUAUCAUUGCUUAAGCCAGC